GGGGGAAUAUUGCACAAUGGGCGGAAGCCUGAUGCAGCAACGCCGCGUGCGGGAUGAAGGCCUUCGGGUUGUAAACCGCUUUCAGCUCCGACGAAUGUGACGGUAGGGGCAGAAGAAGCACCGGCUAACUACGUGCCAGCAGCCGCGGUGAUACGUAGGGUGCGAGCGUUGUCCGGAUUUAUUGGGCGUAAAGAGCUCGUAGGCGGUUUGUUGCGUCGGAAGUGAAAACUUGGGGCUUAACUCCAAGCUUGCUUUCGAUACGGGCAGACUUGAGGGAGGUAGGGGAGAACGGAAUUCCUGGUGGAGCGGUGGAAUGCGCAGAUAUCAGGAGGAACACCGGUGGCGAAGGCGGUUCUCUGGACCUUUCCUGACGCUGAGGAGCGAAAGCGUGGGAGCAAAC
rnacentral:rRNA from 1 species